AUUGAACGCUGGCGGCAGGCCUAACACAUGCAAGUCGAGCGGAUGAAGGGAGCUUGCUCCUGGAUUCAGCGGCGGACGGGUGAGUAAUGCCUAGGAAUCUGCCUGUUAGUGGGGGAUAACGUCCGGAAACGGGCGCUAAUACCGCAUACGUCCUGAGGGAGCAAGUGGGGGAUCUUCGGACCUCACGCUAUCAGAUGAGCCUAGGUCGGAUUAGCUAGUUGGUGGGGUAAAGGCCUACCAAGGCGACGAUCCGUAACUGGUCUGAGAGGAUGAUCAGUCACACUGGAACUGAGACACGGUCCAGACUCCUACGGGAGGCAGCAGUGGGGAAUAUUGGACAAUGGGCGAAAGCCUGAUCCAGCCAUGCCGCGUGUGUGAAGAAGGUCUUCGGAUUGUAAAGCACUUUAAGUUGGGAGGAAGGGCAGUAAGUUAAUACCUUGCUGGUUUGACGUUACCAAAAGAAUAAGCACCGGCUAACUUCGUG
rnacentral:rRNA from 1 species